CCUUCCCCGCUCAGACGCGCGCAAACCCGGAAGCAGAUCGCGUGGAGUGAAGGUCCCUCAGCGGCGCGAUUGACAUCUAAAGACUCUUCGUACGUGAGGAAGAAACCCAGAAAAGGAAAGCAAAGGAGUCAGGGAUGGCUCUUCCUCAGGGUCUAUUGACAUUCAGGGAUGUGGCCAUAGAAUUCUCUCAGGAGGAGUGGAAAUGCCUGGACCCUGCUCAGAGGACUCUAUACAGGGACGUGAUGCUGGAGAAUUAUAGGAACCUGGUCUCCCUGGGUGAGGAUAACUUCCCUCCAGAAGUGGGGAUGUGUCCUUUCGUAUCUUUGUAUUUUCUCUUUUUUUAGAUAGAGUGUCUGUCUCUCUGUCCCCAAGGGUGGAGUGCAAUGGUGUGAUCAUGGCUCACUGCAAUCUUGAAUUCCUGGGCUCAAGUGAUUGAUUGUCCCACCUCAGCCUCCCCUCGUAGUGGUACAGGUGCAUGCCAUCAUGCCAGGAUACUUUUUUAGUUUCUUUUUUUAGAGACAGGUUCUUGCUGUGCGGUUGA
rnacentral:sRNA from 1 species